AUGGUCGCCGCCUCCGGCAUCGCGCCGCCGCGGGCCGCGGCGGUAUCCACCUGCGCGCGGGCCCGCGCAGGCCACCGGCCCGGCUUCCUCCGAUCCCCUCCGGUGCCCGCACCCGCUAAGGCCUCCGUCCGGUGCUGCGCCUCCGCCGUCGACGACAGCGUGGUCGCGCCGGCCGCGCCCAGGCCCCGCCUCCCCAGGGUGGUUGGCAUGGGCUCAAAGCUCAUCGGAAGCGGAUCGGCCACCCCAUCACUUUGUAUUUCAAAUGACGACCUUUCAAAAUUUGUUGAAACGUCCGAUGAAUGGAUCGCUGCGCGGACUGGGAUUCGGAACAGGCGGGUUCUUUCAGGAGGCGAAACACUGGGAGGGCUUUCAGUAAAGGCAGCACAAAGGGCACUUGAGAUGGCCCAAGUAAGACCUGAAGAUGUUGACCUUGUUCUCUUUUGCACAUCUACUCCAGACGAUCUCUUUGGCGGUGCUGGUCAGGUGCUGGCGGAGGUGGGGUGCACAAAUGCAUUUGGCUUUGAUAUCACUGCUGCCUGUAGUGGAUUCAUUGUUGGUUUAAUUACAGCUACUCGUUUUAUCAAAGGUGGAGGUAUUCAAAAUGUCCUUGUAGUUGGUGCAGAUGCUCUUUCACAAUAUGUGGAUUGGACAGAUAGAGGUACAUGCAUCCUCUUUGGCGAUGCUGCUGGUGCUGUUUUGGUCCAGUCAUGCAAUGCUGAUGAAGAUGGUUUGCUAGGUUUUUGCGUGCAAAGUGAUGGCCAUGGGCAAAAGCACCUGCAUUGUUCGUCGUCGAACGCUGACUCGAUCUUAUCCAAGACCAAUGGUGUCCCUGGCUUCCCACCAAAGAAGACCAACUUUUCUUGCAUCGAAAUGAACGGAAAGGAGGUUUUCCGCUUUGCUGUACGUUGUGUUCCACAGUCCAUCGAGAAGGCGCUAGAGGAGGCCGGCCUACCUGCCUCCAGUAUAGAUUGGCUGUUGCUUCACCAAGCUAACCAGCGGAUCAUCGAUGCCGCUGCCAGUCGGUUAUCUAUCCCAUCGGAAAAAGUCAUCUCAAACCUUGCCAAUUACGGCAAUACCAGCGCGGCAUCCAUCCCAUUAGCACUGGAUGAGGCUGUUCGCGGCGGGAAGGUGAAGGCGGGCGACAUCAUCGCAGCAUCUGGCUUCGGAGCUGGACUCACCUGGGGUUCGGCUAUCGUCAAAUGGGGUUAA
rnacentral:rRNA from 1 species